rnacentral:rRNA from 1 species
UACGAAGGGGGCUAGCGUUGCUCGGAAUCACUGGGCGUAAAGGGUGCGUAGGCGGGUCUUUUAAGUCAGGGGUGAAAUACCUGGAGCUCAACUCCAGAACUGCCUUUGAUACUGAAGAUCUUGAGUUCGGGAGAGGUGAGUGGAACUGCGAGUGUAGAGGUGAAAUUCGUAGAUAUUCGCAAGAACACCAGUGGCGAAGGCGGCUCACUGGCCCGAUACUGACGCUGAGGCACGAAAGCGUGGGGAGCAAACAGGG